AACGAACGCUGGCGGCAGGCCUAACACAUGCAAGUCGAGCGCCCCGCAAGGGGAGCGGCGGACGGGUGAGUAACACGUGGGAAUUUUCCUCAAGGUACGGAACAACUCAGGGAAACUUGGGCUAAUACCGUAUGAUGCAGAGAUGCCAAAGAUUUAUCGCCUUGGGAUAAGCCCGCGUCAGAUUAGGUAGUUGGUGGGGUAAUGGCCUACCAAGCCUGUGAUCUGUAGCUGGUCUGAGAGGACGAUCAGCCACAUUGGGACUGAGACACGGCCCAAACUCCUACGGGAGGCAGCAGUGGGGAAUCUUGCGCAAUGGACGAAAGUCUGACGCAGCCAUGCCGCGUGAAUGAUGAAGGUCUUAGGAUUGUAAAGUUCUUUAGCCUGUGACGAUGAUGACGGUAACAGGAGAAUAAGCCCCGGCUAACUUCGUGCCAGCAGCCGCAGUAA
rnacentral:rRNA from 1 species